GCUCCAUAGCGUAUAUUAAAGUUGUUGCAGUUAAAAAGCUCGUAGUUGAAUUUUAGGCCUGGCCGGAUGGUCCGUCUUUGGCGAGUACUGUUCUGUCGUCGGGUCUAUCCUUCUGGUGAGCCGGGAUGCCCUUUAUUGGGUGUGUCGGGGAACCAGGACCAUUACCUUGAAAAAAUUAGAGUGUUUAAAGCGGGCAUUUGCUUGAAUAGAUUAGCAUGGAAUAAUAGAAUAGGACGUUGGUUCUAUUUUGUUGGUUUUAGGACCACCGUAAUGAUUAAUAGGGAUAGUUGGGGGCAUUAGUAUUCAAUUGUCAGAGGUGAAAUUCUUGGAUUUAUUGAAGACUAACUAUUGCGAAAGCAUUUGCCAAGGAUGUUUUCAUUAAUCAAGAACGAAAGUUAGGGGAUCGAAGACGAUCAGAUACCGUCGUAGUCUUAACCAUAAACUAUGCCGACUAGGAAUCGGGGCGACGUUAUUUCAUGACUCGCUCGGCGCCUUAUGGGAAACCAAAGUG
rnacentral:rRNA from 1 species